ACCGGGUCAACAAAUCCGAUGUCCGUGGAGUAAAGGCAGAGUCGAAAACACAGACUACUAAUUCUCACCUGUGAAAAAAGACCAACAGACAUGUCAAAGGCUUUCAUACAUUACAUAUUUGUGUGCGUUGGUGCACAUGUGCUACGGUGGACCAGUGCACAAAAUCCAGGUGUUCGUGCCCUUACAUCUGCAUGUGAUCAGUUAGUUGGGGGUCAAGUUAUCCUGAGAGGCACGUUUGAUAGCAUCCCUUUAGGUCCGGUUAACUGGAUAAGGCCUGAUGGUAUAACUGUUGGUUCCUGUAAGGCGAAUGAAACAUGUGACACAAACAGUACAGGAUAUGUUGUAUCGCAAUCCUCUACUUUAAACUAUACCAUUGUGAUAGCAUCGGCUACCAGUGUAGACGCUGGGGGAUGGACAUUCGAGGACGCCAUAAACACCGUCAAAUUCAACCUUGAAUUACUAUCGGUGAAUCUUACUACAGUUGACGUGUCUUGUGGUAAUUUGUCUGGUGAAACCAUCAGCGUACAGCGUGAUUCAGCAGAACAGGUGACAUGUAACACCGACUGUAUACCAGGGAAC